rfam:Mucor circinelloides f. lusitanicus CBS 277.49 MTCCIscaffold_03, whole genome shotgun sequence.
GCUUCAUUAGCUCAGUUGGUAGAGCGUCAGACUUUUAAUCUGAAUGUCACGGGUUCGAGCCCCGUAUGAAGCU